GACGAACGCUGGCGGCGUGCUUAACACAUGCAAGUCGAACGGAAAGGCCCUGCUUUUGUGUGGUGCUCGAGUGGCGAACGGGUGAGUAACACGUGAGUAACCUGCCCUUGACUUUGGGAUAACUUCAGGAAACUGGGGCUAAUACCGGAUAGGAUCUCCUGCUGCAUGGUGGGGGUUGGAAAGUUUCGGCGGUUGGGGAUGUACUCGCGGCUUAUCAGCUUGUUGGUGGGGUAGUGGCUUACCAAGGCUUUGACGGGUAGCCGGCCUGAGAGGGUGACCGGCCACAUUGGGACUGAGAUACGGCCCAGACUCCUACGGGAGGCAGCAGUGGGGAAUAUUGCACAAUGGGAGGAAGCCUGAUGCAGCAACGCCGCGUGCGGGAUGACGGCCUUCGGGUUGUAAACCGCUUUCGCCUGUGACGAAGCGUGAGUGACGGUAAUGGGUAAAGAAGCACCGGCUAACUACGUG
rnacentral:rRNA from 1 species